rnacentral:lncRNA from 1 species
UUUCCUCUGAUUUAAACCCUAGUGUCUUAAGAACAAUCCUGUGACUUUGAGAGUUUCCCCUUGUGUCAUUUUUGGUAUUUCCUUUUGACGUCCCCUCAUCUCCUGGGGCUUGUGACUUCUUCCUUUAAAUAGCCCUUCUCCCAGCCACUCAGGAUGUUUCAUUUGGGGGUUCGUCCAGGAUCUUCUUGACCACCCCAGGCCCCAAAGACCCAUUGGAGGUGUGGCGCCCGAACAGGGACCCCUUGGGGGUCACAGAGGAGAGAACGCCGCUCAUCAGUAAGGACAGGCCUGGCCGCCCUUUUCUGAAGCACCAGAGAGUGACUUUGGAUCGCUAGGACGCCACGGAACACCCGCCGUGAGACAGUCCGGGAGGAGUUCAUAGCGCAGCGCAGAUCUUAAGAUGCUGCUCCGGAAAAAGAUCCUUUUGAUCCUGCUACUGACAGAGGUGAUCUCCAUCCCUCGUCGCCAACAGCCCAAGUACUCUAACAAUAGACAUAUGCCUUGGAACUACACCUGGAUAGUUCUUACAGAAAGACAAGAUGUGGCUUGGUCAAUUUCACAAAUCUCUACUGCUAUCUGGUGGCCUACUUCACUCCACCCAGACCUCUGUAAAUUAGCCCUCGGGGCCGGGGCCCCUUGGGGCCUUGAACAUCAGCUUGAGUUACAAGUAGCCCCAGAGGAUAACAUGCCCC